rnacentral:rRNA from 1 species
AUACAUGCAGUAGAACGCUGAGGAGGAGCUUGCUCUUCUGGAUGAGUUGCGAACGGGUGAGUAACGCGUAGGUAACCUGCCUGGUAGCGGGGGAUAACUAUUGGAAACGAUAGCUAAUACCGCAUAACAGUAGAUAUCGCAUGAUAGCUGCUUGAAAGGUGCAAUUGCACCACUACCAGAUGGACCUGCGUUGUAUUAGCUAGUUGGUGAGGUAACGGCUCACCAAGGCAACGAUACAUAGCCGACCUGAGAGGGUGAUCGGCCACACUGGGACUGAGACACGGCCCAGACUCCUACGGGAGGCAGCAGUAGGGAAUCUUCGGCAAUGGACGGAAGUCUGACCGAGCAACGCCGCGUGAGUGAAGAAGGUUUUCGGAUCGUAAAGCUCUGUUGUAAGAGAAGAACGAGUGUGAGAGUGGAAAGUUCACACUGUGACGGUAUCUUACCAGAAAGGGACGGCUAACUACGUGCCAGCAGCCGCGGUAAUACGUAGGUCCCGAGCGUUGUCCGGAUUUAUUGGGCGUAAAGCGAGCGCAGGCGGUUAGAUAAGUCUGAAGUUAAAGGCUGUGGCUUAACCAUAGUACGCUUUGGAAACUGUUUAACUUGAGUGCAAGAGGGGAGAGUGGAAUUCCAUGUGUAGCGGUGAAAUGCGUAGAUAUAUGGAGGAACACCGGUGGCGAAAGCGGCUCUCUGGCUUGUAACUGACGCUGAGGCUCGAAAGCGUGGGGGAGCAAACAGGAUUAGA